UGAACGCUGGCGGCAGGCCUAACACAUGCAAGUCGAGCGGAUGAAGGGAGCUUGCUCCUGGAGUUAGCGGCGGACGGGUGAGUAAAGCCUAGGAAUCUGCCUGGUAGUGGGGGACAACGACUCGAAAGGGUCGCUAAUACCGCAUACGUCCUACGGGAGAAAGUGGGGGAUCUUCGGACCUCACGCUAUCAGAUGAGCCUAGGUCGGAUUAGCUUGUAGGUGAGGUAAUGGCUCACCUAGGCAACGAUCCGUAACUGGUCUGAGAGGAUGAUCAGUCACACUGGAACUGAGACACGGUCCAGACUCCUACGGGAGGCAGCAGUGGGGAAUAUUGGACAAUGGGCGAAAGCCUGAUCCAGCCAUGCCGCGUGUGUGAAGAAGGUCUUCGGAUUGUAAAGCACUUUAAGUUGGGAGGAAGGGUUGUAGUUUAAUACGCUGCAACUUUGACGUUACCAACAGAAUAAGCACCGGCUAACUCUGUGCCAGCAGCCGCGGUAAUACAGAGGGUGCAAGCGUUAAUCGGAAUUACUGGGCGUAAAGCGCGCGUAGGCGGCUUGAUAAGAUGGGUGUGAAAUCCCCGGGCUUAACCUGGGAACUGCAUCCAUAACUGUCUGGCUAGAGUACAGUAGAGGGUGGUGGAAUUUCCUGUGUAGCGGUGAAAUGCGUAGAUAUAGGAAGGAACACCAGUGGCGAAGGCGACCACCUGGACUGAUACUGACGCUGAGGUGCGAAAGCGUGGGGAGCAAACAGGAUUAGAUACCCUGGUAGUCCACGCCGUAAACGAUGUCUACUAGCCGUUGGAAUCCUUGAGAUUUUAGUGGCGCAGCUAACGCACUAAGUAGACCCGCCCU
rnacentral:rRNA from 1 species